CCUGCUUUACCCCUUCAUCCCUGGAUUUACUGAUGGCCUGGGCUGCAUGCACUUGUUAAGUGGUUGUGCUAAGGACGUUAGACUGGGUUCUCCACAUGCUGUGUAAUAGUUAGCUAAACUGAUAAACCUUAUCCCUGGAUUUACUGAAAUUUCAGGUAUUGAGAUAAAGAUGGUAAUUUAAUUAAUGCAAAUUUGAUUCUUGUUCCUCCUUAAUUAUCCCUGAAGGAGCCAUGUGUCAUUAAUGGAUCCUCCCUGAAGGAGCCGUGUGACAUUAAUGGAUCCUGCCUGAAGGAGCCGUGUGACAUUAAUAGAUCCUCCCUCAAGGAGCCGUGUGACAUUAACGAAUCCUCCCUGGAGGAGCUGUGUGACAAUGGAUCCUCCUUGAAGGAGCCGUGUGACAUUAAUGG